rnacentral:rRNA from 1 species
AGAGGCUACUGCCAUCAGAGUUCGAUUAAGCCAUGUUAGUCGAGGGUACCUCUUCUUCUUCGGAGGAUGAGGUAACCCGGCGGACGGCUCAGUAACACGUGGAUAACUUGCCCUUGGGUCUGGGAUAACCCCUGGGAAACUGGGGCUAAUACCGGAUAGAGCAUCGAUCGCUGGAGUGCAUGAUGCUCGAAAACUACGGUGCCCAAGGAUAGGUCUGCGGCUGAUUAGGUUGUUGUUGAUGUAAUGGACCAACAAGCCUACGAUCGGUACGGGUUGUGAGAGCAAUAGCCCGGAGAUGGGUUCUGAGAAAAGAACCCAGGUCCUACGGGACGCAUCAGGCGCGAAAACUUUACAAUGUGCGAAAGCACGAUAAGGGAACUCUGAGUGCCCCCUAAGGGGGCUGUUCUAGUGUCUAAAAAGCAAUAGAAGUAAGGGCUGGGCAAGACCGGUGCCAGCCGCCGCGGUAACACCGGCAGCCCAAGUGGUAGCCACGUUUAUUGGGUCUAAAGCGUUCGUAGCCGGCUUGGUAAGUUCCUUGGUAAAUUUAGCCGCUUAACGGUUAAGCUUUCAGGGAAUACUGCUUGGCUUGGGACUGGGAGAGGUCAGAGGUACUCCAGGGGUAGGGGUGAAAUCCAUUAAUCCUUGGGGGACCACCGGUAGCGAAGGCGUCUGACCAGACCAGCUCCGACGGUGAGGGACGAAGGCUAGGGGCGCGAACCGGAUUAGAUACCCGGGUAGUCCUAGCUGUAAACGAUGCGGGCUAGGUGUUGGCAUUACUGCGAGUGGUGCCAGUGCCGAAGGGAAGCCGUUAAGCCCGCCAUCUGGGGAGUACGGUCGCAAGGCUUAAACUUAAAGGAAUUGGCGGGGGAGCAC